rnacentral:rRNA from 1 species
GAUGAACGCUGGCGGCGUGCCUAAUACAUGCAAGUCGAGCGAACAGACGAGGAGCUUGCUCCUUUGACGUUAGCGGCGGACGGGUGAGUAACACGUGGGUAACCUACCUAUAAGACUGGGAUAACUUCGGGAAACCGGAGCUAAUACCGGAUAAUAUUUCGAACCGCAUGGUUCGAUAGUGAAAUAUGGCUUUGCUAUCACUUAUAGAUGGACCUGCGCCGUAUUAGCUAGUUGGUAAGGUAACGGCUUACCAAGGCAACGAUACGUAGCCGACCUGAGAGAGUGAUAGGCGACACUGGAACUGAGACACGGUCAAGACUACUACGGGAGGCAGCAGUAGGGAAUCUUACGCAAUGGGCGAAAGCCUGACGGAGCAACGCCGCGUGAGUGAUGAAGGUCUUCGGAUCGUAAAAAUCUGUUAUUAGGGAAGAACAAACGUGUAAGUAACUGUGCACGUCUUGACGGUAACUAAUCAGAAAGCAACGGCUAACUACGUG